rnacentral:tRNA from 1 species
GGGGCCGUAGCUCAGUUGGGAGAGCGCGACGUUCGCAAUGUCGAGGCCGGCGGUUCGAUCCCGCCCGGCUCCACCA